GAGUUUGAUCAUGGCUCAGAGUGAACGCUGGCGGCAGGCCUAACACAUGCAAGUCGAACGGCAGCGCAGCAGUAGCAAUACUGUGGGCGGCGAGUGGCGGACGGGUGAGGAAUACAUCGGAAUCUACCUUGUCGUGGGGGAUAACGUAGGGAAACUUACGCUAAUACCGCAUACGACCUACGGGUGAAAGCGGCGGACCGCAAGGCGUCGCGCGAUUGGAUGAGCCGAUGUCCGAUUAGCUAGUUGGCGGGGUAAGAGCCCACCAAGGCGACGAUCGGUAGCUGGUCUGAGAGGAUGAUCAGCCACACUGGAACUGAGAC
rnacentral:rRNA from 1 species